CCACAAAGGAUCAAGCCCAGACCGAAGUUCCCAACCUCAAAUAUUGUGGGCGGGGUUAAGUUUGGCUGGCAUCCAGGCUACUUACAGCAAGGACACU